GGAAGUAAAAGUCGUAACAAGGUUUCCGUAGGUGAACCUGCGGAAGGAUCAUUAUCGUAGGGCUUCGGUCCUGUCGAGAUAGCGUCCUUGCCUAUUUUUUGGAGUACCUUUUCGUUUCCUCAGCAGGCUUGCCUGCUACUGGGGACCCUUUAAACUCUUUGUAAAUACAGCAUCUGUCUGAAUAAACAAACAAAAAUCAAAACUUUCAACAAUGGAUCUCUUGGUUCUGGCAUCGAUGAAGAACGCAGCAAAAUGCGAUAAGUAGUGUGAAUUGCAGAAUUCAGUGAAUCAUCGAAUCUUUGAACGCACAUUGCGCCCUUUGGUAUUCCUUAGGGCAUGCCUGUUCGAGCGUCAUUUUCACCUUCAAGCACAGCUUGGUGUUGGGCGUCUGUCCUCACGGACUCGCCUCAAAAGAAUUGGCAGCCACUUCAGCGGCUUUGAGCGCAGCAGAAUUGCGUCCUCUAGCAGCGGAAGGUGGCAUCCAUAAGCUUACUUUUCAUUUUGACCUCGGAUCAGGUAGGGAUACCCGCUGAACUUAAGCAUAUCAAUAAGCGGAGGA
rnacentral:rRNA from 1 species